UCAGGAUGAACGCUGGCGGCGUGCCUAAUACAUGCAAGUCGAACGAAUCUCUUUUAGAGAUGAGUGGCGAACGGGUGAGUAAUACAUAGGUAACCUGCCCCUGUGCGGGGGAUAACAGGAGGAAACUCCUGCUAAUACCGCAUAGCCAUGAGCACCGCAUGGAGCUCAUGCCAAAUAUCCUUUCGGGGAUAGCACAGGGAUGGACCUAUGGCGCAUUAGCUUGUUGGCGGGGCAACGGCCCACCAAGGCAACGAUGCGUAGCCGGCCUGAGGGGGCGGACGGCCACAUUGGGACUGAGACACGGCCCAGACUCCUACGGGAGGCAGCAGUAGGGAAUUUUCGGCAAUGGGGGAAACCCUGACCGAGCAACGCCGCGUGAGCGAAGAAGGCCUUCGGGUCGUAAAGCUCUGUUGUAAAGGAAGAACGGCGCAUACAGGAAAUGGUAUGCGAGUGACGGUACUUUACCAGAAAGCCACGGCUAACUACGUGCCAGCAGCCGCGGUAAUACGUAGGUGGCGAGCGUUAUCCGGAAUCAUUGGGCGUAAAGAGGGAGCAGGCGGCCGCAAGGGUCUGUGGUGAAAGACCGAAGCUAAACUUCGGUAAGCCAUGGAAACCGGGCGGCUAGAGUGCGGAAGAGGAUCGUGGAAUUCCAUGUGUAGCGGUGAAAUGCGUAGAUAUAUGGAGGAACACCAGUGGCGAAGGCGACGGUCUGGGCCGCAACUGACGCUCAUUCCCGAAAGCGUGGGGAGCAAAUAGGAUUAGAUACCCUAGUAGUCCACGCCGUAAACGAUGGUCACUAAGUGUCGGGGGUCAAACCCCGGUGCUGCAGUCAACGCAAUAAGUGACCCGCCUGAGUAGUACGUUCGCAAGAAUGAAACUCAAAGGAAUUGACGGAA
rnacentral:rRNA from 1 species